rnacentral:tRNA from 1 species
GUGGGUGUAGCUCAGUGGUAGAGCACAUGCUUAUCGUGCAUGAGGUCCUGGAUUCAAUCCCCAGGACCUCCA